CAUGAAAUUUACAUCUUUAUUCUCAUAAUCAUGGAUAUUUUCUUUUACGAACAUUUCAUUUAUAGGUUGUGGAUUGUGAAGACGUCCAAUUUGAAGAUCUGACGUUUUCUGAAAGUCUCUGUGAGAUUGCUCCUGAUCGACCAAAGGGAGCUGAAGCUGCUUCUGCAGUACCCAACCAGAUGCUACAGCCUCAACCUUCCAGCAGUGCAACAGAACUGGAUAUUAAUUCUCUUUACAUGCCUAGGCUUCCCUAUGUAGGUGAAGAGCAAAUUAAAGUCUAUGAAGACUAUGUGAUUGGUAGUGGUAACUUUGGAACUGUGUACAGGGGAUCCUACCAGGGGACAGUUGCUGCCAUUAAAAAAAUCCCCAUUCAAGGAUCUCUGAAUGACAUAACACAUGAGAUUCUCGUCUGCAUUUGAAUGAAGAAGAGCAAUGCUACAUUGGACUGGAAGUAGCUCUUGCUGUUGAGUACAUUCAUUCAAAGAAUAUAAUACAUCAGGAUAUCAAACCAGCAAAUAUUCUGG